rnacentral:rRNA from 1 species
UUGUCCGGAUUUACUGGGUGUAAAGGGUGCGUAGGCGGCAAGGCAAGUCAGGCGUGAAAUCUGUGGGCUUAACCCACAAACUGCGCUUGAAACUGUCUUGCUUGAGUGAAGUAGAGGUAGGCGGAAUUCCCGGUGUAGCGGUGAAAUGCGUAGAGAUCGAGAGGAACACCAGUGGCGAAGGCGGCCUACUGGGCUUUAACUGACGCUGAAGCACGAAAGCAUGGGUAGCAAACAGGAUUAGAUACCCUGGUAGUCCAUGCCGUAAACGAUGAUUACUAGGUGUGGGGGGUCUGACCCCCUCCGUGCCGCAGUUAACACAAUAAGUAAUCCACCUGGGGAGUACGGCCGCAAGGUUGAAACUCAA